rnacentral:rRNA from 1 species
AGAGUUUGAUCAUGGCUCAGGAUGAACGCUGGCGGCGUGCCUAAUACAUGCAAGUCGAGCGAACAGAUAAGGAGCUUGCUCCUUUGACGUUAGCGGCGGACGGGUGAGUAACACGUGGGUAACCUACCUAUAAGACUGGGAUAACUUCGGGAAACCGGAGCUAAUACCGGAUAAUAUUUCGAACCGCAUGGUUCGAUAGUGAAAGAUGGUUUUGCUAUCACUUAUAGAUGGACCCGCGCCGUAUUAGCUAGUUGGUAAGGUAACGGCUUACCAAGGCGACGAUACGUAGCCGACCUGAGAGGGUGAUCGGCCACACUGGAACUGAGACACGGUCCAGACUCCUACGGGAGGCAGCAGUAGGGAAUCUUCCGCAAUGGGCGAAAGCCUGACGGAGCAACGCCGCGUGAGUGAUGAAGGUCUUCGGAUCGUAAAACUCUGUUAUUAGGGAAGAACAUACGCGUAAGUAACUAUGCACGUCUUGACGGUACCUAAUCA